UACAGAGGGUGCGAGCGUUGUCCGGAAUCACUGGGCGUAAAGGGCGCGUAGGUGGUGGCUUAAGCGUGCGGUGAAAGCUCGGGGCUCAACCCCGAGUCGGCCGUGCGAACUGGGCUCACUGGAGCAUAGUAGAGGCAGGUGGAAUUCCGGGUGUAGCGGUGGAAUGCGUAGAGAUCCGGAAGAACACCGGUGGCGAAGGCGGCCUGCUGGGCUAUGGCUGACACUGAGGCGCGGACAGCGUGGGGAGCAAACAGGG
rnacentral:rRNA from 1 species